CGUAAUUUAGAAGUCGUCAAAUUACAGAAGCUAACUCUCCGGCGACUAUGUCCGACCAAAACCCUAAAAUCAAUUUCCGUCACCCAUUGUCUUUGAAGAAAAAAAUAAAGAAAACUUGAUUAUCUCGUUAAGGAAAUUGUUGCCUUUUGAAGUAAAAUUGAUGCAUGUUUUAAGUAAAUCGAAGGAAAUUCUGAUCUUUUUGAAGCAAAUUGCUAUUCAUAUGUUAAGAUUCUUCCAGCCUAUGUUCAAGAAUUAAGCGGAAGUAUGAGGCUAUUUGGAGCGCAGUUCGAUUUGGAUGUUUUCAUGCGUUGAUGUUCAAUCAAACAUGUUGCCUGGCGAGCUAAAGACCCGUUGCUCGGCAUGGCACUUCAGGUGGGUCUAAGAGAUUUUGGAAAAAGUUCCAUUUUAUGGUCCUUUUUCUCUGUCUCAUGGGCAAACUGAUGCUUGCAGCCAUGCUGGGUUUCAUAGCUUUUGAGGUUAUCGUGUUUUGGCACCUCACGACUUUCUACUUUUUUUGUUCUUAUUACUCUCUCUGGUAUAACUUAACAAAGCAAUUUAACAUGUUUUUUCUCGAGUUGAGAACUGUUGCUUGGCAUGAGAUUUAGGAGAAAGUUCCAUUUCAUGGUGAUCUUCUUUGUCUCGUAAGGCUAACUGAAUGCUUGCAGCCAUGACAGAUUUCAAAUACUUUGAGAUGAUUCGUGUUUUUGCUUUGUAAAGUUUAGUUUCUUUACUCCCCCUCACUGAACCGCCCUUUUUCGUGAAACUACACAAGCUUCCUCUUUUCUUAUUCUUAUUACUCUCUCUACUCUAUUUUAUUAGCAAUGAGGAUGUGAAGGUUUUAUCUUCGGUGUAAUUUCAAUAGAAAUUGUUUUCUGUCGAGAUGAUUAAUCUGUUGUUUGGCACGGCACCUCAGGUGGGUCUAUGAGAUUUUGGAAUUAAAUUUCCAUUUCACGGUGGUUCUUCUCUUUCUCAUAAGCCUAGCUGUUGUUUACAACCACGAUGAUGUCAAUGCUUUGGAGUUGAUUAAUUUUACUUGGCAAAGUUCAGUUUCUUUCACACCCCUCACCAAACCUCUCUUUUUGUGAUAUUGCACAUGCACGUCCUCUUUUUGUAUUUUUAUCACUCACUCUGCUUCGUUUUUAUACGCAAUGAAGAUUUGGAUGUUUUCAUGCGUUGAUGUUCAAUCAAACAUGUUGCCUGGCGAGCUAAAGACCCGUUGCUUGGCAUGGCACUUCAGGUGGGUCUAAGAGAUUUUGGAAAAAGUUCCAUUUUAUGGUCCUUUUUCUCUGUCUCAUGGGCAAACUGAUGCUUGCAGCCAUGCUGGGUUUCAUAGCUUUUGAGGUUAUCGUGUUUUGGCACCUCACGACUUUCUACUUUUUUUGUUCUUAUUACUCUCUCUGGUAUAACUUAACAAAGCAAUUUAACAUGUUUUUUCUCGAGUUGAGAACUGUUGCUUGGCAUGAGAUUUAGGAGAAAGUUCCAUUUCAUGGUGGUCUUCUUUGUCUCGUAAGGCUAACUGAAUGCUUGCAGCCAUGACAGAUUUCAAAUCCUUUGAGAUGAUUCGUGUUUUUGCUUUGUAAAGUUUAGUUUCUUUACUCCCCCUGACUGAACCGCCCUUUUUCGUGAAACUACACAAGCUUCCUCUUUUCUUAUUCUUAUUACUCUCUCUACUCUAUUUUAUUAGCAAUGAGGAUGUGAAGGUUUUAUCUUUGGUGUAAUUUCAAUAGAAAUUGUUUUCUGUCGAGAUGAUUAAUCUGUUGUUUGGCACGGCACCUCAGGUGGGUCUAUGAGAUUUUGGAAUUAAAUUUCCAUUUCACGGUGGUUCUUCUCUUUCUCAUAAGCCUAGCUGUUGUUUACAACCACGAUGAUGUCAAUGCUUUGGAGCUGAUUAAUUUUACUUGGCAAAGUUCAGUUUCUUUCACACCCCUCACCAAACCUCUCUUUUUGUGAUAUUGCACAUGCACGUCCUCUUUUGUAUUUUCAUCACUCACUCUGCUUCGUUUUUAUACACAAUGAAGAUUUGGAUGUUUUCAUGCGUUGAUGUUCAAUCAAACAUGUUGCCUGGCGAGCUAAAGACUCGUUGAUUGGCAUGGCACUUCAGGUGGGGUCUAAGAGAUUUUGGAAAAAGUUCCAUUUUAUGGUCCUUUUUCUCUGUCUCAUGGGCAAACUGAUGCUUGCAGCCAUGCUGGGUUUCAUAGCUUUUGAGGUUAUCGUGUUUUGGCACCUCACGACUUUCUACUUUUUUUGUUCUUAUUACUCUCUCUGGUAUAACUUAACAAAGCAAUUUAACAUGUUUUUUCUCGAGUUGAGAACUGUUGCUUGGCAUGAGAUUUAGGAGAAAGUUCCAUUUCAUGGUGGUCUUCUUUGUCUCGUAAGGCUAACUGAAUGCUUGCAGCCAUGACAGAUUUCAAAUCCUUUGAGAUGAUUCGUGUUUUUGCUUUGUAAAGUUUAGUUUCUUUACUCCCCCUCACUGAACCGCCCUUUUUCGUGAAACUACACAAGCUUCCUCUUUUCUUAUUCUUAUUACUCUCUCUACUCUAUUUUAUUAGCAAUGAGGACGUGAAGGUUUUAUCUUCGGUGUAAUUUCAAUAGAAAUUGUUUUCUGUCGAGAUGAUUAAUCUGUUGUUUGGAAUUAAAUUUCCAUUUCACGGUGGUUCUUCUCUUUCUCAUUAGCCUAGCUGUUGUUUACAACCACGAUGAUGUCAAUGCUUUUGAGCUGAUUAAUUUUACUUGGCAAAGUUCAGUUUCUUUCACACCCCUCACCAAACCUCUCUUUUUGUGAUAUUGCACAUGCGCGUCCUCUUUUUGUAUUUUUAUCACUCACUCUGCUUCGUUUUUAUACACAAUGAUGAUUUGGAUGUUUUCAUGCGUUGAUGUUCAAUCAAACAUGUUGCCUGGCGAGCUAAAGACCCGUUGCUUGGCAUGGCACUUCAGGUGGGGUCUAAGAGAUUUUGGAAAAAGUUCCAUUUUAUGGUCCUUCUUCUCUGUCUCAUGGGCAAACUGAUGCUUGCAGCCAUGACAAAUUUCAAAGUUUUUGAGCUGUUUUGUGUUUGGUCUUGGCAAAGUUAAGUUUCUCUCACCCCUCCCCCCAAACAUACACACACACCCCACCAAACCACCUUUUUUCAUGAAGUUACACAUGAGCUUCCUCCUUUCUUAUUCUUAUUACUCUCUCUCUCAUAUUUUUAUAAACGAUGAGUAUGUGGAAGUUUUCUCUUUCAUGGAAGUUCAGUAAAAUUUGUAUUUGUUUUCUCGUGAGCUGAUUAAACUGUUGUUUGGCACGGCACCUCAAGUGGGUCUAUGAGAUUUUUUAAUUAAGUUUCCAUUUUAUGGUGUUUCUUCUCUAUCUCAUAAGGCUAAUUGUUUUUUGCAGCCACAAUGGAUAGCCACAAUGAAUUUCAGAGCUUUUGAGCUGAUUCAUGUUUUUACUUGGCAAUAUGUAGUUUCUUUCCCACCCCUCACCGAACCACCCUUUUCGUGAUACCACACAUAACUCCCUCUUUUCUUAUUCUUAUUACUCAUUUGUUUUAUGAACAAUAAAGAUUUGGAUGUUUUCAUCCGUUGAUGUUCAAUCAAACAUGUUGCCUGCCGAGCUAAAGAAUUGUUGCUUGGCGUGGCACUUAGGUGGGUCUAUGAAAUUUUGGGAAAAGUUCCAUUUUAUGGUCCUUCUUCUCUGUCUCAUAGACAAACUGAUUCUUGCACCCAUGCUGGGUUUCACAACUUAUGAGCUUAUCGUGUUUUGGCACCACAAAGUUCAACUUUUUUGUUACUAAACCACCCUUUUUGUGAAUUUACACGACUUUCUACUUUUCUCGUACUUAUUACUCUCUCUGGUAUAACUCAAAAAAGCAGUUUAACAUGUUUUCUGUUGAGUUGAAAACUAUUGCUUGGCAUGGCACCUCAGGUGGAUAUAUGAGAUUUUCGAGAAAGUUUCAUUUCAUGGUGCGUCUUCUCCAUCUCAUAAGGCUAACUGGCGGUUGCAGCCAUGACAGAUUUCAAAGCUUUUGAGCUAAUUUGUGUUUUGGCUUAGCAAGGUUCAGUUUCUGUUCGUGAAAUUUCACAUGAGCUUCAUCUUUUCUUACUCUAAUUACUCUCUCUACUGCAUUUUCUAAGCUAUGAGGAUGUGGAUGAUUUAUAUUCCGUGGGAUUUCAAUAAUACUUGUUUUCUCUCGAGCUGAUUAAACUGUUGCUUGGCACGGCACCUCCGGUGGAUUAUGAGAUUUUGGAAUUAAAUUUCCAUUUCACGGUGGUUCUUUACUGUCCAUAAAGGCUAACACAGAUUUCACUACUUUUGAGCUGAUUCAUGUUUUUACUUGGCGAAGUUCAGUUCCUUUCACACCCCUCAUUGAACCACUCGUUUUGUUAUGUUGCACAUGCACUUCCUUUUUUCGUAUUCUUAUUACUCACUCUACUUCGAUUUUAUACACAAUAAAGAUUUUGAUGUUUUCAUCCGUUGAUGUUCAAUCAAACAUGUUGCUGUCGAGCUAAAGAACUGUUGCGUGGAAUGACACUUCAGGUGGGUCUAUGAGAUUUUGGGAGAAUUUCCAUUUUAUGGUCCUUCUUCUCUGUCUCGUUGGCAAACUGAUGCUUGCAGCCAUGUGGGUUUCACAGUUUAUGAGCUAAUCGUGUUUUGGCACCACAAAGUUCAAUUUUUUUGUCACUAAAUCACCCUUUUUGUGAAACUAAACGACUUUCUACUUCUCUUGUACUUAUUACUCUCUCUGGUAUAACUCAAAAAAGCAAUUUAACAUGUUUUUUGUCGAGUCGAAAACUGUUGCUUGGCAUGGCACCUCAGGAGGGUAUGAGAUUUUGGAGAAAGUUCCAUUUCACGGUGCGUUUUCUUUGUCUCAUAAGGCUUAACUGAUGCUUGCAGACAUGAAAGAUUUCAAAUCUUUUGAGCUGAUUUCGUGUUUUGGCUUGGCAAUGUUCAGUUUCUUUUGGUAAAAUUGCACAUGAUUUCCUCUUUUCUUAUUCUAAUUAUUCUCUCUGCUCGAUUUAUAAGCGAUAAGGAUGUGGAUGUUUAAUCUUCCGUGGGAUUUCAGUAAUACUUGUUUUCUCUCGAGCUGAUUAAACUGUUGCUUGGCACGACACUUCAGGUGGAAUUAUGAGAUUUUGGAAUUAAAUUUCCAUUUCAUGGUGUUCCUUUACUGUCACAUAAAGGCUAACUGUUGUUUGCCGCCACGACGGAUUUCAAUGCUUUGAGUUGAUUCGUGUUUUUACUUGGCAAAGUUCAGUUCCUUUCACACCCCUCACUGAACCACUCUUUUUGUGAUGUUGCACAUGCACUUCCUUUUUUCGCAUUCUUAUUACUCACUCUACUUCGUUUUAUACACAUUGAAGAGAUGAAUGUUUUCAUCCGUUGAUGCAUUGCCUGUCGAGCUAAAGAAUUGUUGCUUGGCACGGCAUUUCAGGCAGGUUUAUGAGAUUUUGGGAGAAGUUUCAUUUUAUGGUCCUUCUUCUCUGUUUCAUAGGCAAACUGAUGCUUGCAGCCAUGAAUGUUUCACAGUUUAUGAGCUUAUCGUGUGUUGCCCUACAAAGUUCAAUUUUUUUGUCACUAAAUCACCCUUUUGGUGAAACUACACAACUUUCUAAUUUUCUUGUUCUUAUUACUUUCUCUGGUAUAACUCAAAAAAGCAAUUUGACAUGUUUUUUCUCGAGUUGAAAACUGUUUCUUGGCAUGGCAUCUCAGGUGGGUAUAUGAGUUUAGGAGAAAGUUCCAUUUCACGGUGAGUCUUGGCUGCUUGGGGACUCGCAUAAAUAUAAUGGCUGGAUGGAAUAACAAUACAAGACUGUUCAUUAUGUGCCACUCAUACCAGGUAAUGAUGACAAAAUGUGUGCAACUAAUUAAUGAUCUUUUCCAUCAUGCAGAAACUAGAGCAGUAAGGAGACUGCAGAAGCUUUCUGGAGUUUCCGCAGCUGUCAUCCCAUCAAUGUGAUCAAUCUUCCACCCUAAGUUGUGGUGUUUGUGUAUUCUUUGAUGAAAGGCCAAGUGUGCAAAUGAAACUUGUUAUUUGUUAAUUCCUGGAAUAGCAAAUUACAAGCUCAAGGGGAGUGCACAAGUACAUGUGAUGGGGAGUAAAAAGAAGGUGCAAUUAUGUUUGGAGAUGCAUUUAUACCUUCAAAGUGUUCUCUCUCUCAUUGUUGAGGAGUUGAAGCACACUUCGUUGUGUUUUCAAAAUUGCAUUUCAGGAAAUAUUUGUGUUGGAACUGCAUUUGAUGAUAUACCUAUGAAUUAUGAGAUUAGGAAAAAGAGGUACAGGACCCAGAGUUGCAAAUCGACACAUGUACUUCCUUCCCCUCAGCCAAGAAACUGACAGGAAAGUGCACUGUUAGGAUAGAGAUUUGAUCUUCUCAGAAUAUUCUGUGCGGAAGUGCUCUGAUAAGCAUGAUCCCGAAGUCAGAUUCCUCAGUCAGAUCGAAAGUUCAAGUCGUUCAAUUGAUGGCUCUCUUGCUCAUCGCAGUCUGUGUAAACUGUUCCAGUUAUAAAUCUGACUGCCGGUCAGGUUCAGGAUGGGAUGAUGAGUCAUUUAGGGAAUGUAACUUCAAAAAGCCAACAAGUUAAUGUGUUAACACCAACCCGUCCAUAGAGUCGCCUUGAAGAUGAUUUUAAUGUUGAAUUUGAAAUAGCUAAUGAUGUUAUCCAGGUCUUAAAUCAAAUGUUCCCUAGAAGCAAGGAAAUAUAUUUUGAGAACUUCUCCUGGUGCAAAAUUAAGAGCAAGGCAUCUUAGAGGUCAAAAUUUUUGUCGGAGAUUCAGAGGAAAAAGCUUAAUUAACCAAGUCAUACUGGAUGAAGACGAUCAUCUUAUGGAUUUCGUUUUACAGACCAAAAAUUAUGGUUCUGACCUGCCAUUUUUCGUCCAGACCGUCUCCUCUGCCAUUAGAUCCUUUGCUCGAGACCAGGUUUUGAGAUGUUAUUCUUUGCAUCGCUGAAAAUGAGAUUGGAACUUCUGUCGAACAUGAAGUUGUUUUCACGUAUAAUUUUGGAAAGAAUGGAACAUAGUCUCUUGGUACUGCCAUAAAUAAUUUGGAAAAAGAGGACUGCUUGUUCCCAAAUUCUGCAAAGUUUAAUUUCAAUUUUUAUGCUCUUUCUUGAGAGGAUAUAGCCAGUAUAGGGGGACAUGAUCCAUGGGAUGUUUCUGGUUCAGGUUCUUCUGAAUUCUAUAAUGAUGGAAAUGAUUUGACACAUAUGUAUUCUCAUAGUGAAGAGAAUCUCAAGAAUUAUUUGAUACUAUGCUCUCCUCUAGGGUGGAUGGGGACUCACAUAAAUGGAUUGAUGUUGGAAAUAGAGGUGAAAUGGAUAAGCUAUAAGGAAGAAGAUGAGUAGAAGAAGCCAUUGCUCCUCCAUUUUACCAAGGUAAAAAAAAGUUCUUUGCCACGAGUGAGGCUACAAGAAAGGCAGCAGGAAAUAACAAUAUUAAGAUUGUUCACGAUGUGCCACUCAUGCCUGGUAAUUUGUGCUCGAGUGCUUUGACCAUGCUUUUGCAGGUCAUCCCUGAAAUUGGUUACCAAUUACUAUACAACUAUGCUGACCAAAUUUAAAACUGGGGAUGGAUCUGCAACAUUUAUUUUCAAGCUUCAAGAUCAUUUACCAGGUAAGUUACGAUCUUUGUAUAUAUUUGAUCACACAACAAUGGUGUAUCGAACUUGAAAAAAUUGCCAUUUACCAGAAAUUGCAUUGCAUUAAAUAUUGCAAGAUUUCAUCAAAGUUAAACCUAAAUAUGAGCAUGGAGUUAUAUUGUUUUGGUUUAAGCAGGAACUUAAAUCUGAUUCACAAAAACCCAACAUCUGUCACACUUCUUGCUGUAACAUUCUCUUAUACUUGUCCCUGUCAUAUUGUAUUACAUGCAAACCAUUUGCAGAUCAGUCUUAGAAGGGAAAGGUAUUGUAGUACUGAUUAUGGUUGUUCAUACAGGCUAUUUGCUCACUUACUUUCUCAAACCUUUUACUACACCUUUAUAUCUUAUUCUCUUUGACAUUCACAUUCCUCCCUCAUAAGGAUAUUUGCCGGUGUAAAUGUGGAAAACAAAGCAUGACAAGCACUUCUUCUCAUGCUAGUUAUUCCAUUCUGUGGUAUCAUCAACAGUUAUAUAUUAGUUCUGUGUUCCAUCUUGUUUAAAGCAAGAAGGAUUUUCAAGUGUCAUUUGUGUGCAUUUUCUCUUAAGGUCCAUUUUUGAGGGGAGGUUGCCUCCCUUCUCUGGUAAUCCCUGAUUUUUUUUGUAAUUUUGCACUUAUGCUAGUUUGCAUCUCUGUUUUUGCAAGUAAUUACUUCUGAACCCGUUUUUGUUGCAUUAACUCAGAAUGAGGCAACAGAGAGAAUAAUGGGAUUUCUGUUCAAGGGUGGUUGCCCUACUCUAUGAUUUGCCUGUGAUUCUUUCAUUUUCUAAACAAAUCAACAACCCUUAAAAAAGAGAAAGAGACAUAGAUAGAGUACACUACAGUUUUUGGGCUUUCCUCCCAUCAUUUAAGUUCUGGACUGUGAUUUUCUUGAGCUGAGGCCUAUUGGAAACAACUUCUCUAGUCCCCCCACAAAGGACCGGGGUAAGGUCUAUCUACCAAUGCUAGCUUUUAAGUAUAGGGUAAGGCUGUGAUGAUGACAAAUGAAGUUGUAUUGAGUUGGGUCAGGGAUUGGAGCUACCCUUAUCUUGGCAAGGUAACCUGGUAAGGCAUCAGCGUUUUGCAACGGAGGUCUGCAGCCAUGGCGGUUAGUUUGUCUCCUUGCUUGGUUUUAUUACAAAUCUGAGCCUCAGGAGAAAGAAUUGGCAUUGGCAGAAGGAUGCUUGAAAUCUUGUGAAUUCCCUUUUGUUAGCCUAAAAAAUUCAAGAAUGAGGCAGCAGAGAUUAUGGGAUUUCUAUCAAGGGUGGUUGCCCUUAUCUCUAUGCUUUGCCUAUGAUUCUCCAUUUUCUAAAACAAACUAACAGCCCUUAAAAAAGGAGACAGAGUACACUUGAGUUUCUGGAUAUCUUUGCAUUUUUGCACUCUUAAACAUAUGCUCAUAAGGAAAUAAACAUACAACAACAACAGCAUGACUAUGAAAAUUAUUAAAGAGGCAGUGAUGAUUUCUGGGCUAACUAAAUUCGGGCAUUGAGAUUACCCAACCCGUAUCUUGGCGGCUGAACCCGGUAUGGCCUGUGAUUGAGACGCAUAACUCACACAUGCAAUUGUUUGUUGCAUCCAUGGUGUGGUUGGCUUCUCUUUGGCCUUAUCUUUACACAAAUCUGAGCCUCAAUUUGCUAAAGAAAAAAAGAGAAUAGGGUCAAAUUUACACCUUCACUAUGCAUAACGAGCAAUAUCUUUUCCAUGAUUAAUGUGGAGAUAUUGUACCCACACCGUUCUGAUUUGCAGUUUUAAUGCUUAUUUAUAAUGUAUCUCCAUGUUUUGAUAGCUUAUUCACUUCAACAUUGAUUGUAGUUGGUAAUACAUGAUUAGGUACUCACCUACAUUCUUAACCUUUUACUACACUUCAUAGUUUAUAAUCUUCAACAUUCAUAUUGCUCCCUGUCUAAAUGUGCAAAUCAUAGCAUUCCAACUUAAUUUUUACAACUUAAUGACUUCAUUUAUGUUUUAGGAAAUACUCCACUAGCUAACAAGAUUCUCUGGCACAUAUUUCAUAAGAAAAUGAUUGUUUUCUUCAUAAUACAGGUUCUAUGUAUUGUAUGUAUCUGAUGUGAGCCUGUUAGAAUUGAUUCAACUAGUUGGUCCAUCGACCCUGACUAGCUCUCUUUAUUUACUCCGUUAUAUAAUUCUAAUCUUCUUGUGGAAUCUAUCUUAAGUUCUUGCUAAAUGCCGUGUCAUGUUCUAUGAAUAAUGUAUUUGCUACCCAAAGGCCACAGCUUGCUGCCAACAGAUGGAUCAUCAAUAGUUCCCCUAUCAGUGAAUUGGGUCCUGAAUUAAACGAUGCAUGGGGGAGUAAGUUAAUAUUUUUUAUUUAUGAAUUUGGAGCUACCUUGAUGCUCUCUCUUGCCUCCACCUACCCCCACAUAAGAAAAAGAGAAAAAUGAUUUAGAAUCAAAAGUGUUUUAAACAUAUUUUGCUUUAUCCCUGAUGUCUUUCUUUCCAUUUGUGUUGGAACAAUAACUCCGAUAUGGAUGAGUAUGUCUAGAAUCCAUGCUACGUGGUGUUCUUAUGUUGAAGCAAGCAAUGCUAUAAACUUGGAACAUUCAGAGUGUCCUUUUGAUUGUGUAUAAAUGAGCUAACCCAAGUCAAGCCCAACAUUAGUCAGGUCCAUUUCAACUUGGUACAUUGAGAGAUGAGCUCAAGGUUGGCUCGAGUCUAAUCAAGCCCGAGCUCAAGUCAAACAGUUUUUUUAUGGAUGACUGUGAUGUCCAGGCCAACUUGCGUGCACCUCGAUAAUCAAGUUUUUGCUGCUAUAUAUAUGGCUGGCAAUAUAUAUAGCAUCUAACUAUGUGGGAGAGAGGUUGAUGGGAAGGAACAACACUAAGAGAAGGAUAAAAUACAAUAAUUUUUUAGAAGAGAUGUGUGGAGCUUUGUGUAAGCACCAGAUAUGGUGCACGAAUGAUUUUUAUUUUUGGUAAACUGAAAAUCUUAUGAAAAACAUUAGACCACUAUCUAAAACCUUAUAAGUUAUUGCAAACAUUAAUUAAUUGAUGAACAAUAAGUUCGAUCUAACAUUUAGGUGCCUAUCUGAAGCUCCUUUACUAGCUUCAAGAUGUUCAGUUGAUAAUUUUUCUGUACAUACAUGUUAACGAGAGAUGAUCUGCAAGUUCAUAAUCUAUACUGCCUUUCUGUUUCUUGAAAGGCUUCUUGAGAAUGUCCCGACUGGGAGUGAAUGUUAUUUCCGAAAACUAGAAAGUUUCAAGAUUCAUUCCGUUUUCUUUAAUUAUUCAUUUGCUGGUCGUGGGAACUGGAUCAUGACAGGGAGGGUUGAUAUGUUUGUUCUUUGGGACUUAAAUCGCUAGAGAUGCCUGUACCAACUAACACACUUGGACCCACUUUUUUCAACUUCUCAUUACACUUUACAGAUGCUCAAAUUGAUGAUGUUUGUUUUCCAGAGCAUGCUAGGUCUGAAAAUGCUUGAAUUUCAACUGAGAAGGCUUGGUGCUUUCGAUGCUGAAAAUAGUAUUAUCUCACACCCCAACCUUGACGAAAUCUUCAAACUCUGUGAGAAUAUACUUAAUAUCUGUGUUAAAGCUUCUAUGCUGGAUACAUAUUAAGCUUUUUUACCUUGACCUGUUUAUUCUUUUACCUUAAAACUAUUUGCAGUGUGGGCCAACCAUGGGGAUGAUAUAACAUCCAGUAUGAAGGCUGCAUUUGUGCAAAGCAUAUUUUUGGAGAGUGCAGUAAUAUAAAUACAUACAUAGUAGGAUUCAAAACCCUGAAAAUCAACGAACAUUAUAUAACCAUCAUUGACAAAGAUACUAGGUUUUGGCCAAUUACAUACAUAUGAAGAGUAAGAAUCUGGGCCUGGAUCGUUUAAUGCUAACUGCACAAUUCCAUCGAUAAUCUAUCUCUAGAUUAUGAUGGAUAUAGCAUACAACUAAAAAUGUUUAAGUCAAGAAAUUGAUAUUAUGACCUCAAACUUUUUCUUUCGUCGAUCAAUCUCACUAUAAAAUCUACAUUGUUCUUUGAUAUGUAGAUGUGGUCACAGAACAGCCCAGGGGGUUUUCGCUGACAGCUGGAAUGCCCUAAUAUGAUACUACUUGAGCAAUUUUGUUGGUAGUACUAAAUAGUAUCUGUAGUAUUUAAUUAUGAUGGAGGAGGUAGAUCCUUCACAGAAAUCAUAUACAUGGAUCUGGCUUUGGGAACUUCGAGAUCAGUAUGUUUUUGAGUCUACUGAUGGAUCCUGUGUUUCGUGCUUGGAGAUCAGUUUGCGUGCAUGGGUCUGUGAAACUAAUAGAUGAGGUUCCAGAAUGCUGUUCGAUUCGUGUCCCACUAUUCAGAAAAUAUUUGGUGUUAUCAGCAUACUAAAGCAUUUUGCUUAUAAGUGUUAUCAGCAUACUAAAGGUUUGGAAUCAGGAGUCCAUGAUUGGAGUCUCAUCACUUGGCCAGCUAUGCUCAUUCUUUGCUUGGUCCAGAUCAUAUUAUAAUCCAAUUCAUUGUCGAGGUCUAUAUAGACAUGUCUAGAAUUAAAAUGAGCAAUUUUAACUCCCCCUCGAAAGCUGAGUUUGCAGAACAAAACUCUUUCUAAUCAAUUCCAUUUAUGGCAUGGUGUAACUGAAUUUCCCAAUAAGAGUAUAUUUACACAUAGCAGCUAAUUCCCCCAAAAUUUCUUCUUUCUUGAACAGGACAGCAGGUAGACCUUGUUUCAGGGGUGGCCAGUUUUAUGGGAAAAUCAAUUUUGGCUUGGUUGUGUCUAAGUCUAUCAGCACAGGUUUGGACAACAGUGUAGGUGCAGGUUCAGGGAUGUGGUCGUUUCUGGAGGGAUUAUUUUGAGGUUGUUCAGGGUUGUCAUAAGUAGAACCUGGUUUGGGGGGGAAUUCUGUUCCUUUGGUUGAGAUUUUGAUGGUCAAAAUUACUGAAUAUCUUGGGGAAAUUACUGCCAGGUUGAGGUUGAACAGAGUUGGUCUUAAUUUGAGGGUGCUGCUGCUUAUCUUUAGGUUGCCAGACCUGGUGGGGAUAAUGUAUAUGUUGAUUGUUGAACCUAGGAACUUGACUGUUAGUAUGACCCUGUUCCUGCUCUCUAGUAGUUACAGCUCAUGCAAAUUUAUCUCCACAGUACCUUUAGGCAUUAGAUUAAUAGGAGUGUUAGAGUUAGAAACCAUACCUGAAUGCCCCUGAAUUGCUGUCUUCUGUAUUUCCUGCACUUCCAUUGCCGAUAUGCUUUGGUUCCCCUGCAUAUUUGCAUCAACAGAUUUCUCAAGCAAAGGUGGAAAAUUACCUUGAACUGGUGGUAUGGUGCUGAUUGCAGAACGAUCAUGCAGCAUUUCUGCAUUCAAUUGUGCCUGCUCAUGCUCCAGCCUCCAAGUUAUGCAUUCCAGAGGAGAAGUUAGAAGAAUUUGGCAUUUGGUUAAUGUUCUCUCCUUCUUCUGCCUGCUUUUCCUUUUUCCAACAUCCUUAUCCCUAUUCUAUGAUUGUUCUUGUUCUGUUCCUCUCCCCAGAUUCUCCUUUGUUUGUUCAAGUGUCAACUUGCUUGAUUUUGCACCUUUUCCUUCAUUCGAAUUAUUGUGUUGUUGUUCCAUUGUAAUGUAUUGUGGAAUCUCGUUGGUACUUCCCAGGCACCCCUCUUGUCGUUGCUCUUUAUCAUUACAGAUCACUAGAGCUCCGGUCAAAUCGCCUGAAAAUUCAUUGACUAUGAUUUUACCGACAAAAUAACUUGAAAUUUCAGUGAGAUGUUCCUCUAGCAUAGGGGAGCAAUCCCCAUUAAACAUUUCUACUCGAAUCUCCUCCUAAGUACAUCCAAUUUGAAGGCGCGAUUUGGGCGAUUCACAAGCGAUUCCCCCAUAAAUCGCCUCUCGAUUUCUCGCGAUUGGGAAGGUGAAUUCAUGUGAUUUUUGAGUGUAAUAUAGAUCUUUGGCUUGUGAAUCACCUUCACCACUCUUUAGAACUUGAAUCUCGCCUAAGCGUGCCAUGGAAAUAAUUUUUUAAGCCCAGUCCAACUCCCUCUCCGAAAUUGCGACGUACAUCUCCUCUUCUCUUUGUAAUUUCAAGGAGUUGUAGGAUGAAUCUGAAGACGAGACUAGAUGGGUUUUGCUCAUAUUAGGUCUGUGCAUCAUUUCCAUUUGGUCCGGCGGUCUGGAAAGCUCUACCGGCGAAUAUUAGCCAUUCCGGCAGUGCUAGAGCCGCUGUGUAAACUAGCCGUUAGGGCCAAUUUUUUGGGAGCGUUUAUUAGAGAGAGAAUGUAGAGAGAGAGAAAAUUCAAGAAAUGAGGGGGCGAUGGGGAUUAGGGUUUAGGGUAAAUCAGAUGAUGUUUCUCUCCCCAGGCUAAGUGUGAAAAUGAAACUUGUUGACAUCUGGAAUAGCAAAUUAAAAGCUCAAUGGGAGUGCACAAGUACAUGUGACAGUGAGUAAAAAGAAAGAAAACCAUUCCUUCCAUUUGUUCCAGACCUAAUAAGAGCCUAAGUUGCAUGGACUCUUCACUGUUGCUGUUGCACCUGUAUACGAGACGCGUGCGCGUAUCACACGCGUCCGAGGGGUACGUGUGGGAUUUGGUCAACCCACAUUGGAUACUUUGACCCCGAGUCCAUGGAAAAAUUUGUGGGAAAAUUGAGAUAUCAAAAAAGAUAAAGACAAUAGAUUAAAACAUGGUAAAUGACUUACAUUCAAUAUUAUAUUCCUUUUGCCUCCUUUUUAGCUUUUUCCUCUAGGUCAAUAUUUGUUGCUUCAUGUUUUAUGCCUAAUGGAGAGAAACUAAGAGUUCAAGCAGAUGUGUUUGGCUUCUGGUACACAGUAGCAAUGAUCUGUACGGAGAGUUGGUGGAAUUAAGUCCUUAAAUGCCUUCCGUUUUGUUAUUUUAGGGGAACAACCAAAGACCUUGAAUGAAGAAGUUGGGGUCUUGGGGAAAAUGAGUAAGAAGAUCUUUCAAAAUUUAAAAUAUCUCUAUAGUUCUAUUUUAUAUUUUGGAAUUUUUUAGCCAAAUUCCAGCACCCGUAUCGCUGACAUUAUUCACAUUUUAGGAAAUACUCUACUGGCUAACAAUAUUUAAGCACGUUUUUCAUAAGAAAAUGAUUGUUUAGUUAUGGAUAGAGUGGACAGAUACUGAGGAAUGGGGAUCAACAUAGCAGGCCAACUAAUUCUAGGAGUGAAGCAUAAUUGAUGGAUUGAUUCCUGAUGUUGCCAUUCUAUUUAUUUUAUUUAUUUGCCUAGGUGCAAUUAUGUUUGGAGAUGCAUUUUUACCAUCAAAAUGUUCUCUCAUUGUUGAAGAGUUGAAGCAGACUUCAGUGUGUUCUCAAAAUUGCAUUGCAGGAAAUAUUUGUGUUGGAACUGCACUUUAUGAGCUGUAAGGAGACUGCAGAAGCUUUCUGCCCGAGCUUCCGUAGCUGUCAUCCCGCCAAUGUGAUCAAUCUUCCACCCUGAGUUGUGGUGAUUGUGUAUUCUUUGAUGAAAGGUAAAUGUUACAAAAUUUCUUGGGAGGGUUAAGGUAUCUUUCUGAUAUUAUACCACAGCUGUCAUCUCAAUUUUUUUCCGGUAAAGAGGUUUGAUCUCAACUCAUAUGCUCUUUCUAGAAAUGACAUAAGCCAAUAUAUGGGGGACAUGAUCCAUGGGAUGUUUUUGGUUCAGGUCUCUCUGAAUUCUAUUAUGAUUGAGAUGAUUUGACACAUGCAUUCUCAUUGUAGAGAAUCUUAAGAAUUAUUUGGUACCACGAGCUACGCUCUCCUCUAGGUUGGAUGGGGACUCACGUAAAUGGCUUGAUGCUGGAAAUCGGGUUAAAACAGAUGAGCUUAUAAGGAAGAAGAUGAGUAGAAGAAGUCAUUGCUCCUCCAUUUUACCAAGGAAAAAAAGUUCUUUGCCACAAGUGGUCGACAAGAAAGGCAGCAGUAAAUAACAACAUUUAGACUGUUCACGAUGUGACACUCAUGCCUGGUGAUUUGUCCUUGAGUUCUUUGACCAAGCUUUUGCUGGUCAUGCCUGAAAUUGGUUACCAAUUACUACACCACUGUGCUGACCAAAUUCAAAACUGGGGAUGGAUCUGCAACUUCCAUUCUCAAGUUUCAGGAUCAUUUACCAAUUACAAUCUUUGUUUAGAUUUUGAUCACACAACAAGUCUGUGGAACUCGAAAAAUUGCCAUUUACCAGAAAUUCCAUUGCCCUAAAUUUUGCAACAAUUUAUCAAAGUUAAACCUAACUCUGAGCAUGAAGUUAUAUGUUUUGAUAAAAAAAGAAACUUAAAUCUGAUUCACAAGAAGUCAACGUCAGUCACACUUCUUGAUGUAAAGUUCUCUUAUACUUGUCUCUGUCAUAUUAUAUAUUCAAAAUGUGAAAGUACAUGUAAAUGUGGAAAACUUCUUCUCAUGCUAGUUAUUCCAUUCUGAGGUAUCAAUAACAGCUUAUAUCGUUCUGUGCUCCAUCUUGUUGAAUACAGGAAGAAUUUUCAAGGGUUUAAGCCUUUUAAGUGUCAUUUGUCUGCAUUGUCAUUUUAGUUCCAUUUUUGAGGGGUGUUUGCCUCCCUUCUCUGGUAAGCCCUGAUUUUUUUUUUUGACGUUUUGCACGUAUGCUAGUUUUGCAUUUCCAUUUUGCUAGUAAUUACUUGUGAACCCCUUUUCGUUUGAUUAACGCUGAAUGAGGCAGCAGAGAGAAUAAUGGGAUUUCUAUUAGAGGGUGAUUGCCCUUCUCUAUGCUUUGCCUAUGAUUCUUCCAUUUUUCUAAACAAACCUACAGCCCUUGAAAAAAAGAAAGAGACAUAGAUAGAGUACACUACAGUUUCUGGGUCCCCCCCCCCCCCAAAACAAGUCAUUUAGGUUCUGGACUGUGAUUUUCUUGAGCUGAGAUCUAUUGGAAACAACUUCUCUAGUCUCCCACAAUGGACCGGGGUAAGGUCUAUCUGCCAAUGCUAACUUUUAAUUAAUAAUUAUAGGGUAAGGCUUUGAUGAUGACAAAUGAAGUUGUAUAGUGUUGGGUCAGGCGUUGGAGCUACCUUUAUCUUGACAAGGCAACCCGGUAAGGAAUCUUCGUUUUGCAACUGAGGUCUGCAGCCAUGGCAGUUGCUUUGUCUCCUUUUGCCUGGUUUUAUACCAAAUCUGAGCCUCAGGAAAAAGAAUUGGCAAUACACACAACUAUACUACAACAACAUGAAUAUAAAAAUUAGUAAAGAGGCAGUGAUGAUUUUUGGGCUAAGUAAAUUCGGGCAUUGAGAUUACCCUACCCGUAUCUUGGCGGGGAAAACCGGCAUGGCCUGUAAUUGAGACGCAUAACUCACACGUGCAACUGUGUUUGCAUCCAUGGCGUGAUUGGCUUCUUGUUGGCCUUAUCAUAACACAAAUCUGAGCUUCAAUUUUCUAAAGAGAAAAGGGAAAAGGGUCAAAUUUCCCCUUUAUUAUGCAUAAGGGGCAAUAUCUUUUCCAUGAUUAAUGUGGGAGCCACCGAACCCACAUUGUUUUGAUUUGCAGUUUUAAUGCUUAUUUAUAAUGUAUCUCCAUCUUUUGAUAGCUUAUUCUCUUCAACAUUGAUUGUAGUUGUUAAUAUCCAUUAGGUUUUCACCUACAUUUUCUAACCUUUUACUACACUUCAUAGCUUAUUCUCUUCAACAUUCAUAUUGCUUUAUCUGAAGGAUGAUAUGUCUGUCUAAAUGUGCUAUCAUUCCAACUUAGUUUGUAAAACUAUUCAUACAUCAUUCAUGUUUUAGGAAAUACUCCACUAGCCUAGAAGAUUCUCUUGCACAUUUUUCAUAAGAAAAUUAUUGUUUUCUUUAUAAUAUAGGUUGUGUAUUUUAUGCGUUAAUCUAUCUGAUGUGGACCUGUUAGAAUUGAUCAACUAGUUGGUCCAUCAAUACUGACUAGCUCUCAUAUUUUACUCCUUUAUUUAAUUCUAAUCUUUCUUAUGGAAUCUAUCUUAAGUUCUUGCUUAAUGUUGUGUCAUGUUCUCUGAAUAAUGUAGUUGCUACCCAAAGGCCACAGCUUGCUGGUACAGAUGGAUCAUCAAUAGGUACCCCAUCAGUAAAUUGGGUCCUGAAAUUAAACGAGGCUUGCAGGAGUAAGUUAAUACUUUUGAUUUAUGAAUUUGGAGCUACCUUGAUGCUCUCUUGCCUCCACCCACCCCCACAUAAGAAAAGGAGAAAGACAAAUGAUUUAGAAAGAACCGAAAGUGGUUUAAAGAUAUUUUGCUUUAUUCCUGAGGUCUUUUUUUCCAUUUGUAUUGGAAUAAUAACUCCGAUAUGGAUGAGUAUAUCUAGAAUCCAUGCUAGGUGGUGUUCUUAUGUUGACUAUUAUGCCAAAACCCUUGGAUGCAGGAUAACAUAAGGAAGUUGAAAUGAAUAAUUAGCCUCCAAAAAGUAUUAUCAUUUACUUGUUCCUUUGAGACAAAGGUAAGCACAAACAAAAGGUUUUGGUCAACAAAGUGUUCUUUACAUGUGAGAUAUGGCUUAUGUUGAUAUUUGUUCGCGUCAAUGUCUCCUAAAUUUGUAAAGAUUAAGAAUUUUUUUGGUUAAGUGUGAAUGUCUUGACAUACUAUUUGAUGUUCUUCACAAGUACGGGAAGUUGAUGGACACAGACCAUGCACCUAUCUUUGUUAUCAGUUUCUCUACAUCUUAUGUGCUUUAAAUUUCGAAUAGAAAGUGUAUCAAGUUAAAAUAGUGUUUGUUUGAUGGCUUAGUCAUAGGGGACUUGGGAGAUAGUAACAGCAAUUUCCGUUUCAGACAUGGAAACAUGAGUCAAAUAAGAUUUCUUCGACUAUCAUGUACAGUUGGACUGGUCGCCAAGCUUUCAACUUUUCCUGCAGUAAAUUCAGUCUAACCUUUUUUCUAUACAACAUCUCUCUGUCUUCGAGUUUGUCGGAUUAUUUGCUGGCAAAGGCUACAGUUGAAGUGGUUUGCCUUUUGAGCAAUAAGAGCUCAAAAUCGGACAGAUAAUGGCGCCUUAAGGUAGCAAAUCCUAAAUCAUAAUUGAUGCUUGCACUUUUCCAAUCAAAUGCCGCGUAAUUUUGAUUUACUUGUUUGCGUCGUCAGCUUUUAGACAUGCCCAAGGACAAUAUAGUUUUCUCAACAGUAGGUAUAGACUAAGUGGAUACUCAUUUAGCAGAUUCCACAACCAGUAUUUUUUACCCUGUUGGCUGUUGGAGAGCAUGCUUGUCACUGUCUUAGAGAAACUAUGACAUAAGUAGAUCAAAAAAAGAAGCCAGGUCAUAUGUUACUAGUGUCAUUAAGAGAAGCCAGGUCAUCAUUUGAUAUGAUUUUGAUAAUCGGAAAGCAGACAGAGGAAGACAAGGGAAUCGAGUGAAAACAUUGAAUAUUCAUUUUUUUGGCUCUCGCGUACCAGAAAUGUUUAUAGGAGAUGAAGCAAAGUAUGUUCAGUAUAUAAAUAUGGUUAUUUUGCCUGGUCUUCCUGUGGGUUAGUUCCAGAAAGGCUUACUUGUAUCAAGUGAAACAAAAGACGGCUGAGUGACUUGUAUAUGGGUGCUCUCUGAUGCAGCUGAUUGUUUAAUGUUUGACACUCCUAAAUGGAGUCUGGAAUUAGAUAAAUGUGACAUAGAAAAGACUAAGAGCUUGUUUGGAUUGACUUAAAAGUUGAUCAAACUUACUUUUAAUUCCUUUUUAGCUUUUGAGAGAGUUUGGCUAGAUAAACGUGAAAUAGAAAAGACUAAAAAGUAUGUUGGAUUGACUUAAAAGUUGGUCAAACCUACUUUUAAUUCCUUUUAGCUUUUGAGAGUGUUUGGCUAAGUUCAAAAUAACUUGAAAUGAGUUAAAGAUGACUUAAAAAAAGUUUUAAGUAGGCACUCCUCUACUUUUCUUUUUUUAACUUAAAAGUUAUUUAAGUUUGACUUUUUUAAAACUUCUUUUAAAAAGCUACUUUUUUAAGUUAAGCCAAACGGGCUCUAAUAUGCCAAAUUGACACAUGCAUGCUCACUCCUGACCGUCCCUUUUCUAUUUAAGAUCCUCUACUGUUUCCAUCUGAGAUGAUGUGCUUCCUUUUAGAGACCUUUCCUCUUUUAUUAUCUAUCUAUCUAUCUUGUUGACUAAUUUUUACUUAAGUUUUCAAAUUGUUGUUCCAUCCUUGUUGGUUAAGUAUUUCCAUUUCCAGGCUUUUCGCUAAGGUGUACCUGGUAUAUUUCUUCCUACUUCGAUUAAAUUUUGCAUCUCACCCUGGAUUGGAAUAUCUCACCUCUGAUCCCAACUUCACUGACAAAUAUGGAGGAAAAUAUUUAUGAAGAAAUUCUCGAGGAAGAUGAGUAUGUUCACUUUUAUGCUCAAGAGCUGCUAAGGCCCAUUAGGAUUAUACAUUUCAUAUUCUUUGCAUUUGUGGUCUAGAUCGGAAGUACUGUUGAACUUGUAGAUUAUUAAUCAAAUAUUUGAUUUAAGUUCCUUGAACUAGUCAAAUGCUAUAAUCUUACAAUCGUAGGUUAAUAAUACAUUGGUAGAGAAGCCAACCAACUGAAGAAAAUGAGAAGUGUGUGGUUGUGAGAAAUCUUUUUGAGGUUCAGUUUGCAUUCAUUGAGAAAUUAUUUGUUUAUGAUUUCUGGAUUACAAGGAGAAGGAGAAAAAAGUAAUAGGCUGCUUGAAGAUGGAAGAGAAUAUUUGAACUUGAUUCGCUCUUUUGCUUUUCACCUUUGAAAUUGAUUCUUAAACAUUUUUUUUCUUUUGGUUGUGGAUAUGUUGGCUCUGCAAGCAAUACAAGCAAAUGUUCAACUUGAAUAAUGUCAAAUUACAGUUUACUGAGAAUGCACUCCGACUUAAUGUCGAGAAAGCCUUUACCAAAAACACUGGUGGACGAGGCUCAAGUUCUAUACUAUAAAGUAUUCUGAUUGAAGCCAUGUUUGAGGCAUUGCAUGUCACCAUAAUUUUAUGUAUUUGGUGUUAAUUCUAGAAGAGCUUGGUGUUGGGAACGCGGACAAGCACAAAAAUAUAUAUGGUAAAAGUAAUGGAAAUAAAAUGGGAAAAUAACGACACCAAGAAUUUUACGUGGAAACCCUUCUGAAUAAGGGAAAAAACCACGGGCCAAGAGGAGCAACUGAUAUUACUAUAGUCAGGAAUUUUACACUGUGUAGUCACGAAUACAAUACUCAAAGUGACUACUACACACUCAAAAGGAACAACACUCUUUUGGUUUCCGUCUUAUUAAAAUAUCGCUUAAACUCAAUUUUCUUUUCA